CCAUUAUUGAAAUUGUUGAGCAUAUUUCGUGCUCAGGAGAAAUACCGUCUUCUUAGCUUUCUUGGCUUGCAGAGGAAAUCCCUUGUGCCCGGUCCAGAGGAACUGUCUGGCUGGGGGCAGAAAAAACGGCUUAGGAAGUUAAAAGUCAGCAAUUAUUCACUCACAGCACGACGUAAACCUCGUGCACAAGACGUCCCAUUGAGAUUCGGAACCAGUUUAGGAGUGCUUGCCGCCAUUAAUCCUACUCUAUCCCUCUGUGACAUGAGCAGAAUGGACUUGCUGAACAGACCAGUGAAAGUAGAACCUUGGAACCAAGAAAGGUCCAAAAGGAAAAGACAUGAUCCUGCAGGGCAAACUGUGCAGCCAAUUGCAAGAGCUACACGUAGCAGGUCAUUGCUGCAGACAGACUCCAGUGCAAACGAUCGACCUCUCAGACGCCACCACAGAAAUCAAGAUAAAGCACCUUCCCAACCUGCACGAAGAGGUAGAGUACCAGCACACAAUGCCUCUUCCCCUUCAAAAAGCACUAUGCUCAGGAUAAAGCAUGAAUCUUCGGACAGUGCCAUCCUGCAACCUAUUCACCGUCGCAAUACUGCCUACAACCCACAGGGAACUUCUCCUAAAGCACCAGGACGUAGGGGUCGCCCACCAGCAGAUCGCACAGUUAGGGUAGCCACAACAAAGUUGCAGCACACAAAGCGGCACAAACCUGGGCGCCCCCCAUUAGACAAACCUAAGAGCUCAAAACAAAUAGAAAGCAAAACACAAUGCAACCAUGCUACAGGAAUGCCACAAGCAAAUCACAGCAGAACUGAAAGCGGAACACCGGUGAAGGAGAACAGAAAGAUUAAGGAACGCGGGAACAGAAAAGACAGUCCUGAAGUUCAGUAUGCCAUCGUGAACUGGGAUACUUCCAACCAUCAGCAGCUUCACAGCCAUCCCCUUUACAAAACGAUAAAGGAAGAACCAGCUGAGCCCUUGCCCCUAACCCAACCAUUCCCACCCAGUGACUCCUUGGAUCUGGGCAAGCGUCAGAGCAAACCACCCAUCAAACUGUUGGAUCAAGGCUUCCUAUUCGGCUUCUGUCGACCACCAAGUGGCAUUAAACGGGAGGAGGAGAGUGUGGACAUCUACCUGACUCGGUCGGUCUCUCAUGGAAGUAGUUCCAAUUGCGAUUCAUCACCUGGCAUGGUGAGAAGAGAUCGGGUUAGGGCCAGGAUUCUGCCAGACCGGACCGGUCUAAAUGGGCCUCACUGGGCUGGACUUGGCAACAGGCACUCACCCUUUUCCCAAAGGACUGCUAUUCGAGUAAAGACUGAGAGGGAUGAAACAGGAGUGUCCCAAGUGUCAAAGGUUUGCAGAGUCUCUAGACACCCCCAGGUCAGCAAGAGGAGCUGUAAAAUUAAGAAGGAACCUACAAAGACAAAGAAUGUAAAUAAGCUGCUUCCUCUGAGCAGUCGCCAUUCCGUCCUACUGGAAACCAUCCGACGGACACGUCUGAAACAGCAGAAGGGUCCUCGUGGUCAGGCCUCCAGUGGAGCACAUGCUUGCCUGCAGUGCAGAGGCUCCUACAGGGACUGUGAUGCCCUUAUUAUGCACCGGAUCAGGCACAUUGAAGGCAAACACUGGCCCUGCCCGUUGUGCAGCAAAACUUUCUUCAGACAGAGAAAUGUGAGGAAUCACAUAAGGACACAUAAUCCCAAGAUCUACAAAUGCCGCCAGUGCAUUGCUGCUCAGUGAGGUAAAAAGCCACAAUCUUAAAUGAAGAGGAGCAAAGCUUUGUUUCUUUAAAUAUUAAUGCUGUAAAUACCAAGUAUCUGUGAUGUAUGACAAUGAGGUUCAAUUUAUGUAAAUAAUGUUAUGAUGGUUUAAAUUGUCUUUUUCCUCACAAUAAUUGUUGUUAUUUAAGUAACUAAGCUAUUAAGAAGUUGCUUUGCAAUUGCUACAGAUGUGUUGAACCAGAACUUGAACCCAUGGUGUAUUUCUCAGGGGGGCGGAGCCUGAUGGUCAAGGUGAUAUAUGUAUAAUGAGAAUUGUGUAGAAUGCUUUAAAUUUGUUACUACUACAGUUAUUACUAUUGUUAUUAUUUUUUAUAAAUGGCAUAGUCUUGAGUGCACUUAAUGUUCGCUUUGUUUUGAAACCUAAGAAAGAUGCGAUGGACUGGGAUGUACUUGAAUGAUUGUUGGAGUGUAGCCAGUGGACUGCCCUAAAUGUGUGGUUGUCUGGCAGUGUUUUAGAAAACCAUUACAGAAAUUAGUCAGGAAUUUUAAAAUGAAGGUUUGUUAAUGGAGUUAAGAGUUAUAAAAAAAUAAAUAAAAUGGUUAACCUACAUUGGUUAAAUACCAAUUGUUUGUGAAAACAAUUGUUUGACUACAGCUUUUCAAAAUGAGACAGUGACUGUGUCUUUUAAGGGAAUCCCAAAAUGUCUAAUGUCCCCUCCUCCUCCUCCUCUGAAAAUUCCUUGUCUGGCUUUUUAUGCAUAUCCUUCUUUAACAUAAAAUGCAAUGGACUUGUAUGAAGACGUUUUAAAUGUUGAGGUGUUUUGUCUGAAAACACAAGUUUGAAAUGUAGAACGACCAAAUAGCCAUAUAAAUAAAUUUUGAAUUUUAAAAUUUA
ensembl:lncRNA